rnacentral:misc_RNA from 1 species
AAGUCGUAACAAGGUUUCCGUAGGUGAACCUGCGGAAGGAUCAUUUCCGAAAAAACAUAACCAAUCAACCCCACUGAGAGAAAUGAAGGUGGAGGGAAGGAAAGGAAGGGGAGUGAGAGUAAGGGAAUUUAAUUUCUUUUUCUCUUGUCUCUUUUCGUCUUCUCUUUGCUUUUGUUUUCUUUUUGUUCAUGUGUACUUGAUAUGUUUACUCGUAUCAUUUUAGUCCAAGUGUCUCCUUUUUUUUACUCUCGAAGACUUCUCGUAAGUCGGAGAGAGGCCAUUGAAGAACCCCUUUUAUCCUUGUCAAAGAAGAAUUUACUUUUUUUCAAUGAUGUGGAGAAAAAACAAAUUAAAAGUUAUUUAAUCCUUUUGAAACAUAAAGAAUGAAACAAACAAAUUUAUACGACAACUUUUAACGGUGGAUCUCUUGGCUCGU